CUUAAAGACGAGGGAGUUGGACUGAGCCAGGUGCUCUUUCUGUAGCUGCGGUGGGUAACUGUGCAUGGGCUCGUGAGCAGCAGGUACUGCAGGCAUGUCGGGCUGAAAUCCUGGCAGCCAAACCAGCUAUAAGAAGAGGCUGCAGAGAAGAUUGGCUUCCAGGGGAGUAAACAGGGAAGUGCCUCCCUCCUGCCACCAUGGCUGCGGUGUUUGUGUCAAGACAUAUCUAGACAUUAUCUGCACUCUGCCUGUCCUCUGCCUAAAGUUGGGAUUCUUCAAUUGAUCGCAUGUUCCUGGGCCCCAGAUUGGCCUUGCUCAUUUGGACGGGGAACGCAGAUGGACGGAGUCGUUGCUUGCAACUUUGCCGCUAAGCUUUGAGGGCGUGACCGCAAGACCAUGCUGGAUGUCUGUGGGGCUGGCUGGGUGGGCAGGAAGGUGCAGGUUCUGACCUCGUUUAAAAAUUAUUUUGUUAAGGCACAGAUUAUAGGCUUGCAGUUAUAACCUGUUAAGACCCUUUUUUUUAUCUCAUUUUGGAUGCACGAGAACUAAUUUCUUUAUAUGCUUUUCUAGAAACACAAAAAACAAGAAGUAUCAUUUCUAAACAAGAACAAAAUCUUUUUACAGGGAAUUUUUGGAAGUUACAUUUUUCUUCCUUUGUCAGAGAUAAAAGGCCAGUCUUUGGGGGAAGGUACGUUUAGAUCUCAGAAAACCAAGACAAUAGUGAGAGUCUAUUAAUACCCAAUGCUUCUUAUGGGAAGGAACGAUUUUCACAUGGUGGUGAUAUUUUAGAGCUUUAAAGGGGACUUUUUUUCCCCAAGUGUACUCCAUAACAAUAUGGUACAGAAUUUGGUCUGAGAAGAGGCCGAAAUGAAUUAAAAUGAGUUUUUGGAAUCCUGCUUAUUGGAAAUGUUGAUGCUACUAAGCACGAC